GUUACUGCGCAGCGCCUAGGAUGGAUGGGGCCUGGGGCUGGGCAGGAUGAGGGGCGGUCGAUGCAUUUGUGUAACAACCCGGAGGAUGAUAAAUCAGGGAGCCCUUGUGCCGCUGCAUUGCAGGCUGCGGGAAAUAUUCAGAUACCGGCAACCCUGGAGAAGCUCCCCGGAACCUCAAGUCCUCAAGCACUGAACUGCCAUGUCUGGGAAUCCAGUGCCAACCCCAGAACAGAACAGUCAUGUUCUACAGGCUACUAAUCUUAGGCAGUCAGAGAAGAAGUGUUCAUGGGCCUCCUACAUGACGAACUCCCCGACACUUAUUGUAAUGAUUGGCCUGCCAGCCCGGGGCAAGACCUAUGUAUCCAAGAAACUCACCCGCUACCUCAACUGGAUUGGGGUCCCCACCAAAGUUUUUAAUCUCGGGGUAUAUCGACGUGAAGCAGUCAAAUCAUAUAAAUCCUACGACUUCUUCCGGCAUGACAACGAAGAGGCCAUGAAGAUCCGAAAACAAUGUGCUCUGGUGGCGCUACAAGAUGUUAAAGCGUAUUUCACAUAUGAGUGUGGUCAGAUUGCGGUAUUUGAUGCUACCAAUACCACCCGGGAAAGAAGAGACCUGAUCUUGAACUUUGCCAAGGAGAAUGCCUUCAAGGUGUUCUUCGUGGAAUCUGUCUGCGAUGAUCCUGAUGUGAUUGCAGCCAACAUUCUGGAAGUGAAGGUCUCAAGCCCGGACUACCCAGAGAGGGACAGGGAAAAUGUGAUGGAGGACUUCCUGAAGAGAAUCGAGUGUUACAAAGUCACCUAUCGGCCCCUUGACCCUGACCACUAUGACAAGGAUCUGUCCUUCAUCAAGGUGAUCAAUGUGGGACAGCGGUUCCUGGUGAACCGAGUUCAGGACUACAUCCAAAGCAAGAUCGUGUACUACCUCAUGAAUAUCCACGUCCAGCCCCGAACCAUCUAUCUUUGUCGUCACGGAGAGAGUGAGUUCAACCUGUUGGGCAAGAUUGGUGGUGACUCUGGUCUCUCGUCCCGAGGAAAGCAGUUUGCUCAAGCACUAAGGAAGUUCCUGGAGGAGCAGGAGAUUGUGGACCUCAAAGUGUGGACCAGCCAGCUAAAGAGAACCAUCCAGACUGCAGAGUCCCUAGGUGUGACCUAUGAGCAGUGGAAGAUCCUGAAUGAGAUUGAUGCUGGUGUGUGCGAAGAGAUGACCUAUGAAGAGAUUGAGAAGCAAUACCCAGAAGAGUUUGCCCUUCGGGAUCAAGAGAAGUAUCUGUAUCGCUACCCUGGAGGGGAGUCAUACCAGGACCUGGUGCAGCGGCUGGAGCCGGUCAUCAUGGAGUUAGAGCGCCAGGGCAACGUCCUCGUCAUCUCCCACCAGGCUGUCAUGCGCUGCCUUCUGGCCUACUUCUUGGACAACAGCGCAGAUGAGCUGCCCUACUUGAGGUGUCCACUCCACACCAUCUUCAAACUCACACCUGUGGCCUAUGGAUGCAAAGUGGAAAUAAUAAGUCUCAAUGUGGAAGCUGUGAACACUCACCGAGACAGGCCUGCUAACAACCUCCCCAAGAACCAAACCCCUGUAAGGAUGAGGAGGAACAGCUUUACGCCUCUCUCCAGUUCGGAUACAAUAAAGCGCCCGAGAAAUUACAGUGUUGGGAGCCGGCCCCUCAAGCCCCUCAGCCCUCUUCGUGCCCUGGAUGCUCAAGAAGGGGCUGACCAGCCGAAGACCCAAGUCAGCGUUUCCGUGGUGUAACCGUAAAUAAAACUGUUGCAUUCCUUGAAACUCUCUGAAGGCUCCUGUCUUCUUUGUGUUCUGACUUUGCUGCCCUCUGCCAAGGCUGAAUUAUUUGUUUGAUUAAGGACUGAAGUAGGUCAGACACAACUCUCCCACACCACCUCCUGGGGAAGAUGAGAAGGUCACCAUAGAGGAUCCCAAGAGAAACCCCUGGCUGUCCCUGGGAGUUUCCAUGUGUUCGGUGUGCCAACCCUGCCACUUCUACCCCGAAAAAGAAUCAUCAGUAACAAGAACAGAGAAGAACACAAGAUCUUGAGCAAAAAUGCACCGUGAAGCUGAGUAGCCGUGUAUAACCCUCAUUAUUUGUAAAUUUGGAGUAACAGAGGGAGUCAUUCUAACUAAAACGUGGCCUCUUUCACAAAAGAUAAGGGACAAUGGCAUCAGACUUCACUUUUGUCUCACUGACUUCUUCUGAGGCAGGCAGUGCCAGGGGGAUAAUUGCUCUGUGCUGGCUGGUCAGAUGUAUUGAAUGAAAGCAAGCAAUAAGAACCCUCCAGAGCCAGAGGAAGCAUCUUGGGAGAAGAACCCUCAUUACUGAUCCUCCUUAAAGGUCUUAGAGUGGGCCAGACCUUGUGGGCAGUGAGCUAUCUGACUGACUGCUCUGGCAAAAAUGGGGCUGGCCAUGUGAAGGGACUCUACCCCAGAGCCCCUCAAGAUGCCCGGCUCUGGAUAAGGAGGCCAGGGCCAGACAUCUCCAGGAGACGCAGCCAGAUCUACUGUUCACUGCCAAGCUUGGGACUUCGGCGCUGCAGGGGCUAGAGCAGGAAGCUAAGUGGGGGCAGCUGGGCUUUGGGGACCAUUCAGAAGAGGCCUGGAAAACAAAUGGCAAAUAUAACUACAUUUUCUCUCCAAUGAAUACCGUGAAUAUCAUCCAGGCUGGGAAAUUCAGAGCCUCAGUGUAUCUCAGGCUCCUUGAUGGUCUGGCUCAGCUUAUCUGAAUGGAAGCUUCACUUUGUUUUCAACUCUCUCUUUGCUGGAUUUAGCCUGCAUGGAUUAUUCUGGCUUUUAUUUAAACAUUCCAUGCCGUACCUGUGUCUGCCUGUACCUUUAGCUGACUGCUUUGUCUCUGGGCACUAACGCAACUGUCUGCAUUUCGUUGUUACCUGGUGAGGCGACUGAUCUCUACAAAGACUAGAGCUCAGCCUGGGCCCCUUGUCACCCACCGUCCCUUUCAGGCAGUCAGCUCUGAAGCCCAGGCCCCAUUUUCACCUUUGCAGGACACUUCUGCCCUCUUGAGAACAAGAAAGGGAAGAGGUCUGGGGAUGCACUCAGUCUCUUUGGUGGAAUGGUCGCCACCAUUUCAAAGGAAGUCCUUUGCUUUGAAACCAUUUUUCUUGAUUUUAGGUUCUUGGUCCAGACUCCUUAAGGGCAGAAUUUUCUGAAAGGCCCUCCCAGAUAAGUCCACGCUUGCUCCUGAUUUCUCCCUUGUAGUUACUAUCCUUUCCAAUACUGGAUUUUUUUUCUCUACCUAAUGCUGUGUGCCUCUCCUAGCUGGAGGAGAGUACAGUUCCAGUUGGGAAGAAGAUUAACAUCCUAUUCACUUCCUUUUGGCAAUGAAUAAAAGUUUUUUAGGAAAUAACUUUAUCUGAAAUUUCUCUGCACUUCAAACUAUCAGACCCUCAGUAGCAGGGUCUGUCUCAGGGCCUUGUGGUCUCCAAGGAGGCUGUGACCAACUAAGGAAGCUGUCACCAAGGCACCAAGAGAGCAGCUUGGCCUGCCAACCCUCCCACAGUUGGCCUGGCCCCCGGCUCUAGGGGUCCAUCCAGCUCCUUUUGUCAGACAGAGCUUGUAGGGGCAAGGGGAGAGCAGAUGCACUCAGGACUUGGGAGCUGGCUCCCUUUGGUUUCUCUUAAAGGCUAUAGGGCUCUUGCCCUACGACUCUACACUUGACUGUACCAGAAUAAAGGGGUACAGGUUACCCCACGUGGCGGUCAGAACUUCUAAGGCGAACCUGGCUAGUCUUAUAAGGAUAAUGUGCUUUUAAAAUUUUUGUCUUUGUUUAUAAUUUUAAAAAAAUCACUGAGAUGAGCAUGUCAUGGGGAUGGAGGUGAGUGAAGAAAAGGGGAUCUUGGAGGGAAGAAAGACAAAUAAUUAAGAAGGGAACUUUUCCCUUGUGAUCCUACAUGGGAGAUACAUGGUUCUUAAUUACUUAACAUGUGAAGGGCUGAGCUGCAGGCAGUUCAACCUCCAGUGAUUAGGGGCUACACAUAUACCCUUGCAUCCAGAUAGCCCUUCAACUUUCCCUGGAACAAGUGAUUUUUUUUUUAACCUGGCUACUGGAAGCCAAUACUUGGAAAAUUCUCUCAUUCUCUCUGCCUCUUUGUAUACAUUCUGCUGUUGUCUUCAUGUUGAUUUAUAGCUUUGUUUCAUCCUUGCAGGGCAUUUGGAUUUGCCACACAAAUAAUGAAUUCUUCUGUAUUAGAUGUCUUCAAGCAAACCACUCGUGGUGUGUUUUUUACCUUGCUUAGGUAGGGUGUGGACCAGAUGGCCUCUGAGAGUCCUUCCAACUUUGAUAUUCUGUGGGGGUCAGUUUUUCCAGCAAAGAUUUUUUUUGUAAAGUGAAUUUACCUUAUGUGAAUCCUUUUUUUCCUCUAUUGAGUUUCUUUUAUAAAAUCAUUUUCUAAGGAAAAAAAGUUUUAGCUCCCAGAAGUCAUAAAAUGCCUCAGAAUGUAACAAAUCCUUUAAAUUGUGCACUCAGGAAAAAAAAAUUACAAAUUCCAGUCAAAGCAAUAAGAUACAAAACAUUUAAUAAUACUGUUCAGAGGAUUAAUAAUUUAAAACUGCCUAUUUUAUGAACAAUGAAUUAGUAGACUAUACUUAUGUUUCCAAUCUAUCCAACUCAUUGAGGACCAGUGCCUAGUAUAGGGCCUUACACAUACAUAGUGAGCAACUUUAAUAAAAAGUUGUUAGAUCAAAUCAUUAGCACUUCAAAAAUGGUAUUUAUGUCUGUGUGACCUUGGAACAAUUCACUCGUCUGAGCCUAAAUUUCUUCAUCUGUAAAAUGUGGGGAUUGGACUAAUUGAUUGGAGGGCCUUUCCAGCUUUAAAUGGAUGAUCUAAUAAUCCUAAAGUUCUUCUCAGCUUCAAAUUGAUGAUCUGUGACCCUAAGUUUGCUGAAUUGAUUGCUGAACAUUAAUCUGCUGUUAUUGCACCUUGGUAGAAAGUACAGAAAAUACCAAUGACAUCACUAAUUCAGAACAAAAAAAUCAAUGGGUCAAUUUGAGCUCCACUGUAUGCAUCAAACGGUUCCUGGAACCCUUUAACUGAAUGUGGUAAUAGAAACAACAAUAAGAUUAGCUUUUAUCUUCUUGUUAGAGGGAAUUUCUGAUUCAGUGAACAAAUUUAUGAAGCUGAGAAUUGUUAGGUUAAGUGAGUAGGGGGCAUGUGUAUAAAUAAGCCCUGGUAAAUAUGGUUAUCAUCAAUAUCAAGACUAGCACUGUUGUGAUGCUCUGAGAGGUUAUGAAAAUUUCACGCUGCUUUCUGGGGUAUUUUUGCGUUCAGUCUCCUGACUAAAAAGGGAUAAAUGGGAUCAUUCUUCCUUCCCAUUUCACAGUGCUCCCUGAGAGCAGAGACUGUUUCCUUUCAGUCUCUGUAUUUCCAGCACCUAGCAUGCGAUAGGCACUCAGAUGUUGAAUAUAUGGAGUUUGAAUGGCUGAGACCUUUAGAGAUUGUGACACGCCCAAGGUCACAAAGUAAAUCCUCCAUAGAGCCAGAAUGAAAGUCUCUACCACAUUGCAGAGUGUAUGUUAAGGACUGUGAUUGUAAACAGCCCUCCUAACCACAGCUAAUAGCCUUAUUAGGAGCUAGGCCAAAAGCUGGUGGUCCAAAGCAUUCUUCAGUGUUAGGUGAAGGUUAUUAUUACCCCUUUAGCCAUUCUUAGUUCUAACUCACAAAUGACAGGUGAGAUCAGCAUUUUUUUUCUCACCAGGUAAACUCCCUGGGUGGCCCAAACCUCCCUCCUGGUGGUAAUCAUCAACAUGUGCCCAGGCUAACCCAUUCCCCACUCCUACUCCAACAUACACACUUGGUAGCCCUAGGGUGUUGCUUGUCAUCCUGCUAGGGUUUUUUGUUGUUUUUUUCAAGUGAACUGGAAGGGAUUUUAGAGAUCAUCUAGUCCAGUACCCUCCUACUUAAUAUAAGAGGAAAAAAUGGCCCAAAGAGGGGAAAAUGACUUGGAAUGGACUGUAAUUAUUUGGAAUAUAAAGGGAAAAAAAAGAAACAUACGUGGUUCACUUAAUAUCAGUUCUGCUUUUUUUAAGUAAAAGAGGCACUUAUUUUAACGUUAAAAUGUUCAGUUUUGUAGUGGAGAUAAUAUAGAAGAUGAGAAUGAGGGAAGGAAGGAGGAAGAGAGCAGGUCCUUUAAAGGUAACUGCGUUAGCACAAAGAAUAGAGCUUCCUAUUUCCAUGGUGUAGAUUUCUUUAUUUAAAAAAAGUUCAAGGCACUUUUUUCCCUUCACCCCAUUUUCCUGAUUUUUUCCCUUCUUUCCCUUACCCCAUUUUCCUGAAUUUUCCUUCCUUUCCUCACCCCAUUUUCCUGAUUUUUCUUCCUUCCCUCACCCCAUUUUCCAAAUGGAGCAUGAAAAACUUCUCUUGCAACCCUGGCAGCACUUUAUAUAUUAUUAAGAAUGAAAGAGUACUUGGCAAUAUGAUUUUCUUUUCUUUUUGUCUAUGUUUUGUUUUGGUUCAAGCCGUCAGUAAAGAAAACAUAGGUCAGACUUUAACAGCACCUUGAAGGUAACUGGCUGAGGUGUAGGAACUCUGUUCGGCCCCUAGGAGGAAUCAGUGUUUUCUCCAUCAGGAGACUUGUGGUCUAGUUCUGGUGCUGGCCAGGUCUAAAAGAGCUUCUAUCUAAUCUACUUCCAGAUUCCAAAGAGUAGCAUAUUCCGCCAGGUGAGCCUUCUACAAUCAGCUUAACCUGCUAGGGUGUUCCUCCUCUGUUACUGCCAUUUUAGAAUCCCCAUACAAUGGAAGGAAAGGAAGCUGGACAUUCCUGAGGCAUUAUUGACUAUGAUUUGUUAAAUAUUAUUUUAUAUAUGUGCUUCCCAGAAUCACUUCUGGCACCAGUUAAUUGCUUUUUUUUCUCAUUGAUUUCUGGGUAACGCUAGACUUUGAAGCCAGCCUGGAGUAUAUAUAAUAUGGUGAAUGUGAU